UGAAUUGCAGAAUCCCGUGAACCAUCGAGUCUUUGAACGCAAGUUGCGCCUGAAGCCAUUAGGCUGAGGGCACGUCUGCCUGGGCGUCAUGCAUCGCGUCACCCCUCCCCCAAUUCUGCUGGGUGGGGUG
rnacentral:rRNA from 1 species